rnacentral:rRNA from 1 species
UACGUAGGUCCCGAGCGUUGUCCGGAUUUAUUGGGCGUAAAGCGAGCGCAGGUGGUUUAUUAAGUCUGGUGUAAAAGGCAGUGGCUCAACCAUUGUAUGCAUUGGAAACUGGUAGACUUGAGUGCAGGAGAGGAGAGUGGAAUUCCAUGUGUAGCGGUGAAAUGCGUAGAUAUAUGGAGGAACACCGGUGGCAAAAACGGCUCUCUGGCCUGUAACUGACACUGAGGCUCGAAAGCGUGGGGAGCAAACAGG